GGAGAGGUGUCCGAGCGGCCGAAGGAGCGCGACUGGAAAUCGCGUACGCGUUUCACGGCGCGUCGCGGGUUCAAAUCCCGCCCUCUCCG
rnacentral:tRNA from 1 species